AGCGAACGCUGGCGGCAGGCCUAACACAUGCAAGUCGAACGGAUCCUUCGGGAUUAGUGGCGGACGGGUGAGUAACACGUGGGAACGUGCCCUUUGGUUCGGAACAACUCAGGGAAACUUGAGCUAAUACCGGAUGUGCCCUUCGGGGGAAAGAUUUAUCGCCAUUGGAGCGGCCCGCGUCUGAUUAGCUAGUUGGUGAGGUAACGGCCCACCAAGGCGACGAUCAGUAGCUGGUCUGAGAGGAUGAUCAGCCACACUGGGACUGAGACACGGCCCAGACUCCUACGGGAGGCAGCAGUGGGGAAUCUUGCGCGAUGGGCGAAAGCCUGACGCAGCCAUGCCGCGUGAAUGAUGAAGGUCUUAGGAUUGUAAAAUUCUUUCAGCGGGGACGAUAAUGACGGUACCCGCAGAAGAAGCUCCGGCUAACUUCGUG
rnacentral:rRNA from 1 species